rnacentral:rRNA from 1 species
AUGGCUGACACAGGCGAGCAGGGAGGCAGCGCGAGCAGGGAGGCAGCGGCCCCGCCUCAACUCGCCACCGGCGUGGCCGGCCCCGCCUCCAGUCGCUUCCGGUCCAGCCGAGCCCCUCCAUCGCCCGUCGGCUCCGCUGUGCCGGCCCGGUGCCCGUCCAGCGUGGUCGGCCCCGCCUCCAGUCGCCUCCGGUGCGCCGGCCUGUCGCCCAUCGCCUCCACUGUGCCGGCCGGGUGCCCCGUCGCCCAGGCGCGGUCGCCCGUCUCCCCUUGCCUCCGCCGCGCCGGCCUCCCGUCGCCACCUCCACCAGAAGCGUCCGUCCGCGUCCGCCGCCCGUCGACCAUGGACUCCCACCGGCCGGCCACCAUACACCGCGGCCCGAGCUCUUCUCCCUUUCCUCAUUUAUUUCCCUCUCACACGAAGUUCUCUCUUCCGCAGGAGCUGGCCAUGGAGGUCCUUCACGCUGCCGCCACCCGAGCUCCUGACGUCGCGCACGACCCUGCAGAUCCGAUCGAGGUCGAGCAGCCAUCGCCGGAUCUGAUGCCCAUGACCCCGCCGGACCUCCCUGCCUCGCCAUGUCAGCACCGCCGCACCCCAGCCACACCGCCGGCCCUGCCUUGCCCAGGAGAAGACGAAGACUCGAUUGCUUUCUUACAAUUUUUUGUAAGGUUCUUCUUGCAAGAAAGAAGGACUCAUUUAUUGUUUUUCUAUGUGGAGGUCCUUCAUGUAAAGUGUAACCAUUGCAUAUGUAUAAGCACUUAA